UCUCUUCAAGUCUAAAGAAAAGUUUAAAAUUUUCAAUACAAACAAUUUGUGGGUCAACCUGAAUGCUAUCAAGAGGCUUGUGGAAGCUGAUGUACUCAAGAUGGAGAUCAUUCCAAACCCGAAGGAGGUCAAUGGAAUCAAGGUUCUUCAACUGGAAACUGUAGCUGGUGCAACA